CCUACGGGAGGCAGCAGUGGGGAAUAUUGCACAAUGGGGGAAACCCUGAUGCAGCGACGCCGCGUGGGUGAAGAAGUAUUUCGGUAUGUAAAGCCCUAUCAGCAGGGAAGAAAGAAGACGGUACCUGACUAAGAAGCCCCGGCUAACUACGUGCCAGCAGCCGCGGUAAUACGUAGGGGGCGAGCGUUAUCCGGAUUCACUGGGUGUAAAGGGAGCGUAGACGGCCGUGCAAGCCAGGAGUGAAAGCCCGGGGCCCAACCCCGGGACUGCUCUUGGAACUGUGCGGCUGGAGUGCGGGAGGGGCAGGCGGAAUUCCUGGUGUAGCGGUGAAAUGCGUAGAUAUCAGGAGGAACACCGGCGGCGAAGGCGGCCUGCUGGACCGCGACUGACGUUGAGGCUCGAAAGCGUGGGGAGCGAACAGGAUUAGAUACUGGUC
rnacentral:rRNA from 1 species